UACGUAGGGGGCAAGCGUUGUCCGGAAUCAUUGGGCGUAAAGCGCGUGUAGGCGGCCCGGUAAGUCCGCUGUAAAAGUCAAAGGCUCAACCUUUGAAUGUCAGUGGAUACUGCCGGGCUAGAGUCCGGAAGAGGCGAGUGGAACUCCUGGUGUAGCGGUGGAAUGCGCAGAUAUCAGGAAGAACACCAACGGCGAAGGCAGCUCGCUGGGACGGUACUGACGCUGAGACGCGAAAGCGUGGGGAGCGAACAGG
rnacentral:rRNA from 1 species